UUAACCCCUUGCGCCACCAGGGAGGGCCUACUUGGGUGUUCUGGAAAUAAUGUCGCCACAGAGGUCUGAUUUUGUCCUGGCCACCAACA